GGAGGUUUUAGCUUAAUCAAAGUGUUUGAGUUGCAUUCAGAAGAUGUAUAUUAAAAUUAUGCAGGCCUUC
rnacentral:tRNA from 1 species